AGAGUUUGAUCAUGGCUCAGAUUGAACGCUGGCGGAAUGCUUUACACAUGCAAGUCGAACGAUGAUUUCUAGCUUGCUAGAAUGAUUAGUGGCGAACGGGUGAGUAAUGCUUAGGAAUCUGCCUAUUAGUGGGGGACAACAUUCCGAAAGGAAUGCUAAUACCGCAUACGAUCUACGGAUGAAAGUGGGGGAUCGCAAGACCUCAUGCUCAUGGAGCGGCCGAUAUCUGAUUAGCUAGUUGGUAGGGUAAAAGCCUACCAAGGCUACGAUCAGUAGCUGGUCUGAGAGGACGACCAGCCACACUGGGACUGAGACACGGCCCAGACUCCUACGGGAGGCAGCAGUGGGGAAUUUUGGACAAUGGGGGAAACCCUGAUCCAGCAAUGCCGCGUGUGCGAAGAAGGCCUUCGGGUUGUAAAGCACUUUUGUCAGGGAAGAAAUCCUUUGGGCUAAUACCCUAGGGGGAUGACGGUACCUGAAGAAUAAGCACCGGCUAACUACGUGCCAGCAGCCGCGGUAAUACGUAGGGUGCAAGCGUUAAUCGGAAUUACUGGGCGUAAAGCGUGCGCAGGCGGUUGUGUAAGACAGAUGUGAAAUCCCCGGGCUCAACCUGGGAACUGCAUUUGUGACUGUAUAGCUAGAGUACGGCAGAGGGGGAUGGAAUUCCGCGUGUAGCAGUGAAAUGCGUAGAUAUGCGGAGGAACACCGAUGGCGAAGGCAAUCCCCUGGGCCUGUACUGACGCUCAUGCACGAAAGCGU
rnacentral:rRNA from 1 species